GGGGUUGAUCUGCCUGGCUCCCUGAAUGCCAUCUAAGAAGCUUGUCAAGGUUGUUGACUCUCUUCCUAGUUGGCAUCAGAGGAGUCAUGCAGGCCCCAACAUU
rnacentral:pre_miRNA from 1 species